rnacentral:rRNA from 1 species
GACAGAGGGGGCAAGCGUUGCUCGGAAUCACUGGGCGUAAAGGGCGCGUAGGCGGUAUGGCAAGUCAGUCGUGAAAUCUCUCGGCUCAACCGAGAAACGUCGGCUGAUACUGCCGUUCUUGAGGGAUGCAGAGGAGACUGGAAUUCCCGGUGUAGCGGUGAAAUGCGCAGAUAUCGGGAGGAACACCAGUAGCGAAGGCGGCACUCUGGGCCGGUACUGACGCUGAGGAGCGAAAGCGUGGGGAGCGAACAGG